GUUGGUGGAGUGAUUUGUCUGGUUAAUUCCGUUAACGAACGAGACCCCAGCCUGCUAAAUAGUAACACCAAUGAUUUUCAUUAGUGACUUGCUUCUUAGAGGGACAUGUAGUAUAAAACUACAGGAAGAUUGGGGCAAUAACAGG
rnacentral:rRNA from 1 species